GAUGAACGCUGGCGGCGUGCCUAAUACAUGCAAGUCGAGCGAAUGGAUUAAGAGCUUGCUCUUAUGAAGUUAGCGGCGGACGGGUGAGUAACACGUGGGUAACCUGCCCAUAAGACUGGGAUAACUCCGGGAAACCGGGGCUAAUACCGGAUAACAUUUUGAACCGCAUGGUUCGAAAUUGAAAGGCGGCUUCGGCUGUCACUUAUGGAUGGACCCGCGUCGCAUUAGCUAGUUGGUGAGGUAACGGCCCACCAAGGCAACGAUGCGUAGCCGACCUGAGAGGGUGAUCGGCCACACUGGGACUGAGACACGGCCCAGACUCCUACGGGAGGCAGCAGUAGGGAAUCUUCCGCAGUGGACGAACGUCUGACGGAGCAACGCCGCGUGAGUGAUGAAGGCUUUCGGGUCGUAAAACUCUGUUGUUAGGGAAGAACAAGUGCUAGUUGAAUAAGCUGGCACCUUGACGGUACCUAACCAGAAAGCCACGGCUAACUACGUGCCAGCCGCCGCAGUAA
rnacentral:rRNA from 1 species